ACCCUUCUAGUAUAUAUAUUACAAUUGACUUCCACUCUCUAGAAUCUGGUCCAAGUCCAGAGAAGGGUA
rnacentral:tRNA from 1 species